CCUGAACUUGGGAAGCUGGCAUUUCCCUCUGGCUGGAUUGUGGGCCCCUGUAGUUCCUUGCUCUUAUCUUCACCAGGUUGGCGCAGCCCCGUCUGACCUGAACUCAGGAAGCGGGCAUUUCCGGCUUGCUGGAAUAUAGGCUGCACAGGUGCUUGUGGUUUGGGUGCUGGAUUUUGGGCCAUGACAUUAUGCUGAAAUGAGAAGUCAGUUUGAUGAAAGUUACCCAACCCCAAGUUCAAGCCAUUGUCUAUUUGGGCUGGAGCUUUUAGAGAUGCUUUGCUUUUAUCUUCACCGGGUUGGUAUCCACCAGUCUCACCUGAACUUGGGAAGUUGACAUUUCCGUCUUUCAGGAAUGUAGGCUGUACAGGUGCUUGUAGUUCAGGUGCUGGAUUUUCUGCCACAUCAUAUUGCUGGAAGGGAAAGUCAGUUUGUUGCAAGUUGCCCAAGCCAAAGUUUGAGCCAUUGUUGGUUUGGGCGUGUGGUGAGCUGAGUUGCUGCUGGAAGUAGUCCUCGAUGAACAGAUGAUCACUCGUAAGAGUUUUUAUUGCAAAUUCAAUACAUGGGUCAGUCCAUGAAUCCCCAAAAGGCAACUCAUGAGGGGGUUCUGGAUUCCCGGCCCCCUUAUUUUCAUCUUCAGCCACUCCAGCAUGCUCUAUGGGAAUAGGACCAUCCCCCAGAGGCAAGGAAAGAGAGCACCCGUGCUUCUCCUUGUCCUUAUUCUCAGCCUCAACCUUUUCAGCUUGCUCUUCUGGAGGAACCAAGUCUUCAACAGGAGUUUUACCACUAUUUGAUUCCAAUAACACUUCCAACUUUUGGGAAGGUUGAAAGGAGCACUUUGUCUUAGGCUCAGCCUCAGCAAUACCUGCUUCUAUCUCACCUGAAUGUCCAGCUGCAACUCGACUACCUCGAUUAGUGGUUUUCAGCUCUGGUGUCACAUCAGCUUCAAGCCCAGCAAGUCGUUUUGAAGCUCGACGUGGCAAGUCAUGAGAUUUUUUGUUCCUGUAAUUGCACAGACCAGGUUGGGUCUUCCUUUUUCCACAAACUUUCGCCCUAUUUUCCAGUGGUUGUUUUUCUGCAAGGGGCUCAACCAAAGGCGCUGAAUCUAACACAUUUUUAGCAUCAUCACUUUUCUCUCCUAUAGGCUCUGAACCCUUGGCUUCUGAGAGGUAUAAGCUGCUCUCUGUGACUUUUGCACCUGCAGCAUACAGUAAAUUCAAAUUGGGUGCUACCUUUUACCAUAUCUCUCAAAGGCUUAUUAUCUAUUGAACCCAUCAACCAAAUCUCCUAUUUUAGGACAAUCAUUCUUGGUUCCAAAUUUCAUGUAGAUGACCAGAGAUAUAAUGGCCUCUCUUGUUCCAAUUUUGAAGUCAAAUGUUCAAUGUGACAAGACUACCUACUAUAGUACCUAUUUCAUGUUCUCAUGAAAAGCCAGUCUGUACAUCACUGGAAAAAAGGCAUCUAAAGUUCAGAUUAGAACAGCUUGCUAAAAGCAGCAUUUGGAUUAUACCUUCUAAGGAUGUCUAGGCAAAAUUCCUAAAUAUGGGUUCCACACAGCCCAAUAUGAUUUUUAAGUGUUUUGGAAAAGCAUGCUUUCACUCAAACACAAUGCAGGAAAUAGAAUGGAGUUUUAUAUAACUUUUUAAAUGUCAAAAUUACCUUUAUUCUCACAAAAGUUUGUUUAAAACAGUGCUCCCAAAUGCAAAAUCAAACGCAUAAAAACAGCAUUGGCUUCUGCUUCUGCUUCUACUACUAAACACCAAAAGCUACAGCUAUCCCAAAUGGGCAUAAUACAAACCAGUCCAUGCCCAAGCAAUUCAAGUGGAAAACGAUAGGGAAAGAAAAAGAAAUAAAUAAAUGGAAAUUUCAAGCAAAACAUAUCAAAUGCAAAACAAAACAGGGUCAUGUAUAUAAAACUAGUGCAAAAAACCUGUGCUCCCCUCUGGGCUAGAACAUCAACCAACUCACUCAACAACUAGGCUUCCAAUUAAAAGGAAGAUAGCAAAAUCCCUCACAAGAUCCAUGAUUCUCCUAAUCUGGUGAACAAACUGCGACCACCUUGUCCCAUCAGAAAAUACACAGGAAAUAACAGUCAAAAAAUCCCCAUCAACAGCAGUUAGAUACCAAGAAAAAGCUCCUUUUCAUCAGUCUUUUUCCAGAAACAUUCCCAUUGAUCUUUUUGAGCAAUUUGGCACAUAGUCUGUCCUAUUCCCAAUUUCCAGAGGUUUUACAUUGACUUCUUCAAUUUUAUCUAUGGAAUAUGCCUGUCCAACUCUCAAUCUAGGGUUUCAACAAACACCUUUGUCUCAGCUUUACAGAGAUUGUUGGUUUUAACACUAAGAAUUUUUCAGGUAUGUCCUUCACACUAAAGAUUUUAUAUGUUUGAUAUCCGGUGUUCCCAAAUGGGUAUCUUUUUUGUAAAUUUUAUAUUUUGUUUGAAUAUUUGAAAUAAUGAUGUAAAUGAUUAACUCUCUGAAGUGUUAUUUAAUAUUUCUUUUUUAAAAUGUUCAAUUACUUGUUUUGAUGUUUUCUUUGGGCUAGAUCCCUCAAUAUUUUACACCUAAAUGUUAUCCCUCAUAAUAGAAAGGAUCACACUAAGGAACCAUGGUAUUUACUAUUUUCAUUUUGGUGAAUUGAGUUCUUAUUUUUCAUUAAUCAUUUCAGUUUAUGGAUAGGACCCUCCUUCCCAAUAUGUUCCAUGUAUAUAAAUUCGAAAUAUGCCAUUUUAGGUUCUAUUCUUUCUUAAUAUGUUCUAUUUUUUUUUUUUUCACUAUCUUCUUUUAUCCCCACAUGUUUGGAUAAUCUUUACUAGUUUUAAUUCAAUAAAAUGGUGUUUUCAUGGCACUUUAUAGGAUUCUAAUAGAUUCAUACCAAAGAUUAGAAACAAAGGAAUGAUAAAGUUAGCGAAUGAAUGAGAGGAAACAAGAAAAGCAUGUCACUGUAAGAACUUUACAUUGAUCAGAAGUAUGUUCAGAAUUCAGUAGGCAUUCACCUGAACAGGCAGAUUUAGGGAUUCCUUCAUCGCUUGCUAUCUUGCCCAAUUUCAAGCUCUGACCCCUUGUAAUCUGUCUUCUUGCUCCACCACCUGCUAAUUCUUGUUUUCUGGGAACAACAGGUGACUAAGAGAAGCAGGAUAGAAAAAAGAAAAAACAAAGUUAAAACUUUCCAUGAAUCAAUGUUAACCUGCAGAAUGAUUUCAAUUGGAACAGCAAAGAAUAAUGAAAAAUAAUCUCAAGAAUGAAAAAGCAAUUAUGAAAUUUGUUGUAGCACCUAAUUUAUAGGAAAAUAAAUGCAAUAGAUAAAUCAAGGUUUUUUCCCCCUUGUCUUCAUAAAUUUCAUGGGAAAACAUGAUGGGAAAUAUGAGGUCAUUCUGUAAUAAAAGCAAAUAAGAUGCUGAAUUCUUAGCCACAUGAAAACACAAAACUAAAAAUUAAAAGAAACCCAGAUCUGAUAUCAUGGACACAAAUCUAUCCUAUUGUAUAAUUUCACCAGCCCAUCACUGCAUCAGAUGAAAGAAAAUAUUGACAAUUCCUUGGAGCAUACAUAAUUCCAUGCUGAAUUGUUUCCAUGCACACCAUUGAAAAUCAUCUUACUGUCAUAAGGCAUCCCAAAUGUAGGCAAGAGUCGAGUUUGUAAGCCAAAUGGUGAUGUAAGAAUCAAGUUCGUAAGGUGAAAGGUGACAGAUUUGGUCUGGGUGAAGUUUCUCUAACAAAUAGUGUCAUCCUAGGCAAAUGGUGUGGAUGUUUCCAAGGAAAGGUGACACUCUUUGCAUUUUAUUGGGGUUUUGAUUGUGAGAUGGUACAAAAAAAACUCAUUUCUAUGAACAUCUGUGGUGGGUUUUAUCUGCCCUUCUAAGUUUCCAAAACUUUAUUUGCUUUCCAAGUUUAGAAAUUCCACCAUCUCCCCAUCUAGACCAUGCACUCCUUUAACAUCUUAGAAUUUUAACUUUCAUCACAAUUUGACUAACAAAGAAAUUGAUGACGACUCUUCCUAAUUGCACUCUUUAUUCCCCAUCUUUUCCCAACAACCAAGUAUGGUAGUUAUCGCCCUCAAGUUUAUCUUUUACUUGUACCUUCUUUCUAGCUUUGACCAAAUAUGAGAGAUGAGUUUCCUUUCCACCAACCAAUUUCAUCUAGAGAUCUAAAGCACCACCUAAAGUAAGAGCUUUUGCAUAGCUUAUAGCCAACAGAAACACAAAUACCAACAUGUUGCAGCUGAGAAGGCACCAUAAAGUCUUUGGCCACAAUUGGUGUCUCGUGCAUAGGAACAAAGAAGACAAUGGAUUUCCUUUUCCUAUACCAUCUAGGGGCAUUGAACUAAUGCCAUGAACUUUUCAGACUCACUAGAUUGGAUUGGGUCCCUUGAAAGGUGGCAUAUAUGAUUGUUUACAUGGUUUGGUCAGGGUGAGGAUGGGAAGUGGAGAGGAAAAGGUUGUUCACAGUAUCUUCUCUUUGCGUUAGGCUUUUACAGUGGGUGGCUUCCUUGUUUUUCUUGGGAUUGUGGUUUGUGAGCCAAGCAAUGGCUUUGGGGGUGUGGUUUUGGUGAGGUAGGAUCUUAUUGCUUGUUUUUCAUGGUUGGUUUGUUAGUCUUGUACUCCUAGCAUUUUAGGGCUUGGUUAUGUCGAUUUGGGAGCCCUAUGGCUUGGGUAGUGGUUUGUUGUUUUCUUCUUUCGCCUGCUUUUUGGCACUGUUUGUAUAAUGCAUGUGUACUUGGCACACCUUUCUUUGUGCUUUAAAUAUAUUUGCUUAUUUACCUACCUUAAAAUAAAUAAAUAAAAUAUAAAAAAAUCAAGAGCAUAGUACCAUAGCAUGUGGCCAUUUUCCAUCAACUCUGGGUGAUCUACUUGGAGACAAAUUCCAAAAGUUUUAAGGAAUUUAUAAUAGUUGAAGACUCAAUGUAAACACCUUUGUUCAUCCUUAUGGACGUCAAUUUUUUCAAACGGCUUAUGUACCUCACUGAGUAUGAUCAUGCUAUAUUAGAGAUCUACUUGUUGCAUGAGUAGGAGAAUUAUGGAGUGCAUAUUAAGUGAGUUCAUCUUCCAUUAAGUUGUCUGAAAGUAUGAUACCCAAGCCUUUCAGUUCCACCCAACAUACCUGUGUUGACACAACAUGACAUAGUUGUAAGUAUGGGAUCUUUGUUGAGCACUCCUAUUUUACUUUAGGUGUGGUUGUUUAUUGAUAUCCUUUUAUUCUUUCAACUUUCUUAGUAAUAAUUACAUUAGAUAAAAAGAAUAGUUGGUUGAAAAAUGAAUUUUUGUAAGAAUAUGUAGACGGAAGCUUUUAACAAGUAUAUUUUUAAUUGAUUUUUCUUUUAUUGCACCAUAUCCCAAUAUCCAUGCUUGUUUUUUUGAAUCCUUUUUAGUAAAGUCUUUGUAUUCUAAAAUUUGAGUUAUAAAGGAUCAAACAUUUAAACACAUACCCACAUCCAACACUCAUACCUAGAACCCUUGCAACAUAGGCUUGAAGUUCUGUGAUGAAUGCUUAUUAGGUAAUCGAGAUCAAUUAAUUAGUGGUAGCAUUUUCCUGGGUCAUAGGGAACCAUGGUUAGAACUUACUCUAAAUCUAAUAGGAAAAAACCGACUAUAGAGACAAAGAUGCUAUCUUUGUUGGAAGACUUAAUCCAUGGCAAGUCCUUCGGGUUUCAAUAACUUCAUAUACAAGGGUAACUCAACCAUAGUUAUAUGAUGGCCCUUUAAAAGGAAAAAAGGGUCUUCAAAGUUAGACUUCCUGUUAUGGAAAGUUUUUGAUCUGUAUACAAAGCUAGGAUGCUCCCUUUUAUGAAUACAACGCUUGGCUUUUAGUAGAUGUCUUGGCCAAGUGAGGUGGUUUUAUGCCAAAGGACUUUGCAAGUGAUCUCAUCCCCAUAAGAGGUUAUUUGCACUUUCUCAAUUGAUUACUCUUUUAGGAUGUCAGCUUUAUUCUAUGCUUUUUCUUGUACACCUUUUAUAGAUUCAUUCGUUUACUCUUGACUUUAAUGCAAUGAAUUUGAUGUUUUUGACCAAACUAAGUAAAUAAUAAUGUCAACUCUUGCAUUAGUACACUCUUGGUGGAGAAGGAUAAGGCCAAGAGUGUAGAAGGAUAAGGCCAUCGGACCAUUGGAAGAUGGUAGGAUCUAAUAACCAGCCAUAUAAGUGCCUUACUUGAGCAAAAUUAGCACCACAACGUAAAGACAGUUUUCCAUGGGAUUAGUAUAGGCAUUAAGUUAGUAAUGUUCCAUGGUUGUAGCUCAAAGGUCAUGUCACAAUGAACUAGAGGUCUUGAGGUCUUGAGGUUGAGCUUUCUCGGUAUUUAAGUGGUAUAGGGUCCAAGCGUUGGGCCCAUAUCUUACUUUCAUACCUAGAGAAAGGGAUUAAUCAAAAAACCAAAAAAACUUAAACAUUA
rnacentral:lncRNA from 1 species